rnacentral:rRNA from 1 species
UACGGAGGGGGCGAGCGUUAUUCGGAAUUAUUGGGCGUAAAGGGCGCGUAGGCGGCUGGGCAAGUCAAAGGUGAAAUCCCUCGGCUCAACUGAGGAACUGCCUUUGAAACUGCCUGGCUUGAGGCCGGGAGGGGGUAGCGGAAUUCCCAGUGUAGCGGUGAAAUGCGUAGAUAUUGGGAGGAACACCAGUGGCGAAGGCGGCUACCUGGACCGGUUCUGACGCUCAGGAGCGAAAGCCAGGGGAGCAAACGGG